rnacentral:miRNA from 1 species
AACUACUCUUAGGUUGAUGCAGAAGUAACUAUGGUUUUUGCAACUGAAAGUAAUGGCAAAGACCACGACUACUUUUGCAACAGCCUAAUAAUUUCU